UUGUUCUUGCUUCAGCAACACAUAUACUAAAACUGGAGUGUUACAGAGAAGAUUAGCAUGGCCUUUGCACAAGGAUGACAUGUGAACACAUUCAUAAUUCAU